AACGAACGCUGGCGGCAUGCCUAACACAUGCAAGUCGAACGAGACCUUCGGGUCUAGUGGCGCACGGGUGCGUAACGCGUGGGAACCUGCCCUUAGGUUCGGAAUAACUCCCCGAAAGGGGUGCUAAUACCGGAUAAUGUCUUCGGACCAAAGAUUUAUCGCCUUUGGAUGGGCCCGCGUUGGAUUAGCUAGUUGGUAGGGUAAAAGCCUACCAAGGCGACGAUCCAUAGCUGGUCUGAGAGGAUGAUCAGCCACACUGGGACUGAGACACGGCCCAGACUCCUACGGGAGGCAGCAGUGGGGAAUAUUGGACAAUGGGCGAAAGCCUGAUCCAGCAAUGCCGCGUGAGUGAAGAAGGCCUUAGGGUUGUAAAGCUCUUCUACCCGGGAUGAUAAUGACAGUACCGGGAGAAUAAGCUCCGGCUAACUCCGU
rnacentral:rRNA from 1 species